AGUGAACGCUGGCGGUAGGCCUAACACAUGCAAGUCGAACGGCAGCACAGUAAGAGCUUGCUCUUACGGGUGGCGAGUGGCGGACGGGUGAGGAAUACAUCGGAAUCUACUUUUUCGUGGGGGAUAACGUAGGGAAACUUACGCUAAUACCGCAUACGACCUACGGGUGAAAGCAGGGGAUCUUCGGACCUUGCGCGAUUGAAUGAGCCGAUGUCGGAUUAGCUAGUUGGCGGGGUAAAGGCCCACCAAGGCGACGAUCCGUAGCUGGUCUGAGAGGAUGAUCAGCCACACUGGAACUGAGACACGGUCCAGACCCCUGCGGGAGGCAGCAGUGGGGAAUAUUGGACAAUGGGCGCAAGCCUGAUCCAGCCAUACCGCGUGGGUGAAGAAGGCCUUCGGGUUGUAAAGCCCUUUUGUUGGGAAAGAAAAGCAGCAGGUUAAUACCCCGCUGUUCUGACGGUACCCAAAGAAUAAGCACCGGCUAACUUCGUG
rnacentral:rRNA from 1 species